rnacentral:rRNA from 1 species
AGCGAACGCUGGCGGCAGGCCUAACACAUGCAAGUCGAACGAACCUUUCGGGGUUAGUGGCGGACGGGUGAGUAACACGUGGGAACGUGCCUUUAGGUUCGGAAUAACUCAGGGAAACUUGUGCUAUACCGAAUGUGCCCUUCGGGGGAAAGAUUUAUCGCCUUUAGAGCGGCCCGCGUCUGAUUAGCUAGUUGGUUGAGGUAAUGGCUCACCAAGGCGACGAUCAGUAGCUGGUCUGAGAGGAUGAUCAGCCACAGUGGGACUGAGACACGGCCCAAACUCCUACGGGAGGCAGCAGUGGGGAAUCUUGCGCAAUGGGCGAAAGCCUGACGGAGCCAUGCCGCGUGAAUGAUGAAGGUCUUAGGAUUGUAAAAUUCUUUAACCGGGGACGAUAAUGACGGUACCCGGAGAAGAAGCCCCGGCUAACUUCGUG